rnacentral:sRNA from 1 species
GAUAAUCGGGGUGGCCGGGGCUGAAGUGAGCGGAGCAGGAGCCCUGGGGAGCGUGGUCCCUGCCCUUCCGCGCCUCGAACCAUCGCUACCGCCCUUCGGAACCGGUGCAGCAGCCGAUCAGAUCGAUCAUGGGGCUUUGUAAGUGCCCCAAGAGAAAGGUGACCAACCUGUUCUGCUUCGAACAUCGGGUCAACGUCUGCGAGCACUGCCUGGUAGCCAAUCACGCCAAGUGCAUCGUCCAGUCCUACCUGCAAUGGCUCCAAGAUAGCGACUACAACCCCAAUUGCCGCCUGUGCAACAUACCCCUGGCCAGCCGAGAGACGACCCGCCUUGUCUGCUAUGGUGAGGCCUUGGCAUCUCGGGGGGAUCAGGCCAGCCUCAGGGGCCAGCUUGGUGACUGAUUUCCAGGCCCUCCUCAAGCAGCAGGACAGUGAGUCCCCCAAGUCUCAGAGCCCAGAUUCUAGUCCUGUUAAAGUUCCUUACCUGCUGUGUAAGUUCAGGCAAGUUAUUCUUCCUUUCUAGGCCUGUCUUUCCUAAAAAUUAAAGCUCCUAGUUCCUCUCCUAAAAAUUAAGCCCUGCCAAUCUGGAGGUUUGAGCGAGAACCAGUCAAGCUUACGGGUAUGCUGGUGGCUGUGACUAUUAGCUAGCCAGACCGGCAUGUCGCUUUCAGAUAUUCAGGAUCCACCACUGAUUCCAAGGCUAAACAGAGAGGAAGUGAGUGUCCCACAUUAAAGUUAGCUAAAAGAAGUCAGCAGACAUAUGUGUCAUGACUUUGACCUGAAUCUGGGGUAAGAGCCUUAGCUCCAGUUUUUGAAGGAGCUCAUGCAAGAGGCAACUCCAUAUGUGUUUCUCCUUGUGAGUGCGUGUGUGUACUUGCAGGCACUUAAUGUACAUUGUGUGUUUAAAUGAGUGUUAGUGUGUUGAUUAGUACUUGGGGUGAAUGAAUGGGUAAAUGUAUGUACGUGAACAUAUGA